rnacentral:lncRNA from 1 species
GAGAGGUAGUUUGGGCAAAUAACUGUGGUUUGGAAGGAGGCACAAAGAAGGAACAGCAUUAGCAACACUGUCUCUUACCCAUCUUUCCCCUGAAGACAUCUUAGACACACAAUGCACAAAGGACAGUGAUCAAUGGUCACAGAGAAAUGAAUAGGAGCAGGCACCUGAAAGGCUACAAACCUCUUUUCACAGGGACACAGCUUAUGUGCUCAUUUGAUUCCACACUUAAGAAAAUACUAGUAUAACUUUCCUGAAAAUAAAAAAUAAAAAGAUAACACAUUUGCUUUUUUACCACAAGCCGGUAAGAACUGAGUUUCUAGGUCCGGUGGGCUUUCACCAGCCAAGUCCUGGACUGGUCUAGUCUUGGAAACAAAAGCCCAGUUUCAGGUCCCAGCCUCCUCCCUUCAAAAGGGCAUGGAUGUCCAUAGAAUCGAGGCAAGAAAUAGAGCUCUCCAAGACUCCUCUCUGAGGCAGAGACCCCCAGCCUAGACAGCAGCUUGUCAGCUAGGCUUGGGGUGACAGGCUGCAGCAAAGUCCCAAAGACUCGCAAACAUUCCAAGGCCACAUGAAGCACAGUACCCAGCCAGGGAGCAUCCACUGGGCUCUCCCAGUUCAGCUUCCAUGGUGCAUGCCUUUGGACAAAACCAUUAGUUUGCCGGACACAGCUGGACACGGCCUCCAGAGCCUUAUAUAUCCGAAAGUUAUCAUAGUGGUCUGCUACCUGCUUUGGCAAAGUGGCCACUGCGCUCACCAGAGCAUAAUCCUCUGCCUGAGCACGAACUGACGGCCCCACCAACCCUGGCUCACUAGGGAAGCAGGUAGUGCAGAAGGCUGGGUAGGUCUCAGAAGGAUUUAUUCUUUUGGCAGUGCAUCGGUUCAAGAGACCUCCCAAGGCAUCUGCCAGCUCGGAGUUCAGCAACUUAACCACCUUUUCAUCAUAGUAGUCACAGUCCCAGUUGGGGACGCCCUGCCGAAGGAGAAAGUAGCGGAAGCCAUCCACGGUAUAGCGGUUAAGGCAAGUCCUAGGAUCCACCACGUUGCCCAAGCUCUUGGACAUCUUUUGGCCACAGACUGUCCAGUGGGAAUGGACACAGAUGCGCUGUGGCGGGCUCAUGCCGGCCCCUAACAGGAAGGCAGGCCAAUAGAUGGCAUGGAAUUUGAGAAUGUCCUUACCUAUGAUAUGAGAGGUGGCCGGCCACCAAGAUUUGAACUCAGCAUUUGGGUAGCCAAUUACAGUGAGGUAGUUGACCAGGGCAUCCAGCCAUACAUAGAUGGUCUGCGAAUCAUCCCCGGGCACCGGAAUGCCCCAGUGCAAGUGGCUACUUCUGCGAGACACGGACAGGUCGGGCAGCUCCUCGUCCAGCCACUGAAGAACUACGUGAUGAAAUGGUUCGGGGGUGAUCGCCUGAGGGUUGCCCCGCAGCCACCGCUGGAGUGGCUUCCGGAACUGGGAAAGCCUGAAAAUGUAGUUUUCUUCCUUGGUCCAGGAGAUACCGGCCUCCUGGAAAAGCUGCUGGAACUGCUCAGAGACUCGGUCGCACAGCUCGGUCGGGGCCAGGCCCGCGGUAGCUGCUGCCUGCUGAAUCUUCAGCCCGUGCUCGUCGGUACCAGUGGAGAAUCGCGUGGCGGCCGUGCUGGGACCUCGGAGGCGACGGUGGCGGCAUAGGGCGUCCGCCAGUAGUGCCGAGUACAGGUGCCCGAUGUGCGGCGCCGCGUUCACGUAGAAAAUGGGUGUAGUGAAGUAGGCGCGCACAUCACAAGCAUCAUCGCCGGCACUGAGGGAGCCCGAACUGUAGUAGCGUGGGCCGAAGUCCUCCAGGAGAGACAGCCUACUAGCCCCCGUGCGUCCUAGCAGGCGGAGGACGGACGUUCGCAGCAUGGUGCAGACCGGCCGCAAGCGGAGGAGGCGGCGUUC